rnacentral:misc_RNA from 1 species
GAAAUGCGAUAAGUAAUGUGAAUUGCAGAAUUCAGUGAAUCAUCGAAUCUUUGAACGCACCUUGCGCUCCUUGGUAUUCCUUGGAGCAUGCCUGUUUGAGUAUCAUGAAAUCUUCAAAGUAAAUCUUUUGUUAACUCAAUUGGUUUCUACUUUGGUAUUGGAGGUCUUUGCAGCUUCACACCUGCUCCUCUUUGUUCAUUAGCUGGAUCUCAGUGUUAUGCUUGGUUCCACUCGGCGUGAUAAGUUAUCUAUCGCUGAGGACACUGUAAAAGGUGGCCAAGGUAAAUGCAGAUGAACCGCUUCUAAUAGUCCAUUGACUUGGACAAUACUUUUAUGAUCUGAUCUCAAAUCAGGUAGGACUACCCGCUGAACGUAAGCAU